rnacentral:tRNA from 2 species
CCAAAGUUAGCUCACUGGUAGAGCGAUCGGUUUCCAGCCGAUUGGUUGUAGGUUCGAUUCCUAUACUUUGCACCA